GACGUAGGGUGCGAGCGUUGUCCGGAUUUAUUGGGCGUAAAGAGUUCGUAGGCGGCUCGUCGCGUCGACCGUGAAAACCCGCAGCUUAACUGCGGGCUUGCGGUUGAUACGGGCGGGCUAGAGUUCGGUAGGGGAGACUGGAAUUCCUGGUGUAGCGGUGAAAUGCGCAGAUAUCAGGAGGAACACCGGUGGCGAAGGCGGGUCUCUGGGCCGAUAUUGACGCUGAGGAGCGAAAGCGUGGGGAGCGAACAGG
rnacentral:rRNA from 1 species